AUCGCUUCUCGGCCCCUGGGCUAAGAUCGUGUGUAGUAUCUGUUCUUAUCAGCUUAAUAUCUGGUAGGACCCGUAAUGGGUCUUUGAUAUUAGUUGAAUUUUUGCACGUCGGUGCACGUUGAAGCUUGCUUUGCGUGUGCCACGGGUCGUCCUGACAUUGCACUGCUGUCGGGUGCGGCCCAGUUCCC
rnacentral:snRNA from 1 species